GACGACAUUAAAUAAACAGGUAAGUAAACAAGUAAAUAACUUUUUUUAUUUAACCAAACUACUAACUGACAACUUGUUAGAUGAAAAUAAUUAAGAAUGUUCUCCUCUCUUACAGCAAAACUUUUUAAUAGAAGACACUUCCAAAACAUAAAAACACAAUCUUCACAAAACCACAACAGUUCAGCUUGGCUGACAGUAUCCACCAUAGACAACACACAACAGCAGCUACCAAUGAAUCUGUCUAGGACGGUGACAGGACGUAAAGACAAUCAACGAGGAGAACAUACCAUGCCACUCCACGGCGCCUCCUUUAUACGACUACUCAUUAGCAUAUUACGACUGUAUAACAAAUCUUGUAAUAGAAAUUUCGUAAUAAAACUGAUUUUAUAUAUCAAUUAGUAUUAUUCCCUUGUUAUAAUCAAUAUUAAUAAUAAAACAACUCUAUU
rnacentral:lncRNA from 1 species